ensembl:lncRNA
AUCUCCUUUUGAACUUUGCAACUGGGAAACAAAGAAAUCUUUAAGGAGUAAAAGGCUCCACCCCUGGGAGCCCCAACUUUGGGUUUCUGGGCCUGAUCACCCCAGCAACCCUAAGUGGGGGUGCCCUCUCUUGACGGUUGACUCAUUGAGUAUUUUAGUCACCUACUGAGUCAGUUAUGAGGGUAGGAGACCUGUGAUUUAUUCUGUGAACUGUCAUGCUAGGGUAGCGUGCUCCAGCACAGGAACUGUUGUGUGACUCUUAUCUUGAUAACCCUCUGGAAGAAGCCAUGAGGGUGAGGUCUGAUCUCUUCUUUUCCUUUCUUUGUCUGUUUUGCUCCUCAUCUCUUCUGUUGUCACCAAGUCGAGGUUAAGUUCAGGCUAGACCUGAGCAGAACCUUGACCUUCUGUAAAAUUGGAAAAAUAAGCCUUUUGCCAGGGAUUUGACUCUCAAACCUGGCUCUAGGAGCCCCAGUCUCCAGCCAGUUCCAGGCCUUUGCCUCCUGCUUCCCUACCUCAACUUUGCUGGCUCGGAGACAAAGUGCCCAGGCUGAGCGGGACUGGACUAAAUCUUAUAGCUGUGUCAACACCCACAAUCGGCCUCUGCACCCUUUCUCCAGCUGCUGUUAGUCAGACACUGGCUUUACCGCCACAGGAAAGGCCCCUGAGCAUCCCAGAGACCCACCCUGCAGAUGUAUUCUAACUCCAUCUGGGAGAAAACUUGAGGGGUUUCUCUGUGCCUUUGUGAUGCAGCUGGACAGGUAGAUCAACCUGGAAUGUAAUUUGAGUUACAAUCCAGUUUCUGGGAAAUCAAGAGCAACUGUCCUUAGAAAAUCCUUGCAAGACUGGAAAUACAGCUCUAGAGGCAGUUCGCACUCCACCUAGUUCCUUUAUCACGAAAAGGAUUAUCAUCUCCCCUCUCCAGGAACUACUAUCUAAGCCCAUCACUAAUUCCUAAGACUGAAAAAAAAAAAGGAAAAAAGAGGAGGGGAAAGGCAAAACGGCCAUAAGCGUGCCCUUGCCCAAAAAAUCUAGCAUCUUGAGUAUCUUCUCCACAAAUAUUGGUAAAAAACAAUAGCUGUGCAGUCUCUGUGUACGUGUGUCUGUGUGUACGUUAUAUGUGUGAUAUUUUACCUCCGGAUGGUAUUACCAAAAUCAAGAGCUCUGUUUAAUUGGCUUAAAGUAAGCGUUUACAUAAAUUCUAAAUGUAGUAGAAAUUAAUCCAAUGUCUUUCAAGUUAACGUGAUGUGAAUUAACCUUUGGUAAAUGGAAACUUAUUUAAGUUUGUUGGUUUGAUUGAGAACAGCCUUGUUGUCAGAGUUGUCGUAUUUUUGUUUGAUGGGUUAAGAAAGAUAAAUUUGUCCUAAUGUACUAGAAAGGAGAAAAGAAAGAAUUUGGGAGAAAUUCUGAAGGCAAAAAGAAAGUUGUAGAAGGUUUGUGAAGAGAAAUUCUGAAAGGAGUUUUAUGGCUGGCCAAGUAGACUAAGAUUAAAGUAAAUCCAAUUAAGUGAAUGAGUUUUAAUGUUAAAAAUAAGCUGGUACAGAAAUUAAAAUUUGGUUUUCUCUCAAAGGAUAAUUUUCUUGAACUUUUGGCCUGCUCUAACUCUACCUAAAAGACAAAUCUGUUUUGUUAAAAUAAUGACUGAGGUCACUCUUAAGAUUUUUGACUCUUUCUGUUAUCACUUUGAAUAGAUACCUGAGCAUUAUUUCACAGUGAGCGUUGUUUGAACAAGUGU